AACUAGCAGAGGACGGAUCAGGAAAUGAAAGGUUUGUUACUAAAAACAUUUUUGACGUUUCAUUGAUAUGACUUUAUGUACUAGUAUAUUUUUCCUAAAUUUUUAUCAAAGUGUUUUAAACUAUAUGGGCAGUCGUUUGCAAAAAAUCAUAUAUCAUAUACAUAAAAUUACUUUUGUUCCAAAACUAAACAGGUAGAUUGUAAGUGAACUGUAACUGCACUUAGGUCAAAUGUUCAACAAGAUCACUUUGGUUGUUCUGAUCGCAGGAUUAAAAUUUAUAUCUAAUGGAUCAGAGUUUAUUUAAUUAUAAAUUAUUUUCGAUUCUAUAAGUGAAUUAUAUCAAACAUUUUGCAGCCCUCAGGCUCGCAGCAGUGGCCUUACUCUGCGUCGCUACCGUCAGCAUCAAUGCUGCGAAGUUGCCAAUGAAAAUAGGUAGACAUGGGGGUGACCUAAUCACAACUCCUUGCCCGACGCCGACGCCGCAAAAAAUGAGGUCAGGUGUCAAAAUUACAACUCCUUGCACGCCUCCAGCUCCGCAAAGGAGGAGGUCAGAUGACCAAAUCACAAACACUCCCAUGAGGCCGACACCAACACCGCAAGAAAUUAGGUCAGGAAACAAAAUUUCAACUCCUUGUACACCACCAGUUCCACACAAAAAGGUGUCAGGAGACCAAAUCACAACUCCUUGCCCGACGCCGACGCCACAGAAAACGAUGCCAAAAGCUGAAGUUUUAGGCGGUUCUUCGGAUAAUGAUGUAACAAUCCCUUAUCCAACAACAACACGAACACCUUCUUCAAACGCUAAAAUUUCUUCUAGAGGUAAAAAUAGUCCCUAUGAAAUUUUACAUCUCCACAAAUGGUGAAAGGGGGACUCUCAUUGAGAUAUUAGCCUAACUGGUAGUGAUAAUAACCGUUAAAAUUAUAAUAGAUUUAUAUUUUCAAUUUAGAACCACUUCCGGUUAAAAUAAAUUGGAUUUUUUUUUGAAAAAUUGGGAAAACACCAAAUCCCUACAGCUAAUGAAACUGGCCUUAAUUUUUUCCCUUUACUAUGUGACUAACAAACAUAAAGGAUAUCCAAAUAAAC